CGCCGCGCCGCGCCGCGCCGUGAGAACAACGCGUGUGCGUGCCUGUGCUGUGUCUCUUGCAACACCAGCUGGGAAACAGCCCUGCAGCGGGUCCGGCCCCCCCACUGGCUGCAGCACAGUAGGUUUACACCUGCACUGGAGUUGGCCCCGCGCUCCUGGGGCUAUUAUCCUGAGGUAUUCCUGUUUAAAGGAGUUUAUGCCUGCCCCUGUCAGCCGACUGGAGCAUGUAAAUGGUCUGGCCUCUUGCAGCUGAUUUCAGCAGCUGGGGUGCACUUCCCUAAUCAAGCAUGCUGGUGCUGGAGACAUUGGGCUUCCUCUAAUUUACACCACUGCACAAGCAGGAUUUGGCCUCUUGCCUGCAGAUCUGAUGUCUGAUGGCUUGUCAGGGCUUCCCCUAGGCGCGCACGAUCCGCAUCCUGAGCCACAGCCGAGAUCCCGUUAGAAAAACUAAAACCCACAAAUGUACCGUGUCUGGAACCCUUCAGAUUAAGAGCUACCAAAUGAGAGGACUGUCAGGAGACAAUAGGUUUAUGGCAGACGCUUAACUGUUUGGAGAGCGCCCCUUUCUUUGAAGGGGCCCUGAUGCUGGCUGACAUCCAGAGGCCGUGAAAAAUCCCCUUCCCGUUGCACUAGGUUUUUGCAGCUCGGAGCUCGGGCUCGCGCACAGUCCCACAGUAAAGAGCCUUUUGGGAAUCAAGCUGGUUUUGAUUUAAGCAACAACGAGUCCCUGGAAUGGGCAUGGAGCCUAUCCCCAGGUUUUGGAGCCUAUCAACAUGGGGGAAUGAGCAGGAUAGCUUUCUGUAUACACGCUCUCUUGUGAAAUGGAAGCUGCUGCAGUCUGGGAUCAUUACUGCUAGCACAAACAGCGCACUCCUUCCAGAACGGGGACACGUCUAAAUGGGACACGUGAGUUGAUCUGAUCAUUUUCCCCAUGCAGACGUCUUGGGGUUCACUCUGAGGGACACAGCACAAACUUGUCAUUGCCUCACAGCUGCCUCCUCUUCCCAGACAUGGGCCAAAAAGUGCCGUCAUCAAGCCUAUAGGCAUGUUGCAUUGGAUGUGAAUGUAUGCGCCAUGCAAAAGUUGUAUUAGGGGCCAACAGUUGCCCAGCUGCGAGGAAAGUGUUGAAGCUUUCUUGAAAUACUAGGGGAGAGGGAGAAAUGGGUGGAAAAGAAGAUGGAAGAGGAAACUGGAAAGAGAUGGGCAAAAAUAAGGAGAGGCUGUUGCAGGAAGCUUAUUUGAGGUCCACCUCGUACCCUCUGCUGUGCCAGCCAACUCGCAUCAGAACAGUCCACUAAAUGGGAGAACGAGUAAAUAAAUGGGAAGGGUUAGAAGAUAAUUUGUGCUAACUCCCUGUUGAAGGUGUCCCUUGAAAAUGAGACAGGUAGGGAAGAGGAGCCAACUUUCAAAAUCAAAACAUCUGGAAGAAAGGGUUUUAGAGAACCUAAUAACGGAGGCAUUUGCAAAGGAAGGAAAACUAGUCCGAUGGAAAACGUCAGCACAAAAAAAACACUUAAAAGAAGAUGAAUUGAGAUUCGGAAGGAAGAGCAGGAAAUAGGAAGACUGAAGGGAGCGGAUGAAGAAGAACAGAGGCAGUGGGCCCGACUUUCAAAAAGGCAGAGGGCCCCGGGCUGCCUGGGAAGUCCCAUGUGAAAUUUCUCGUCUAAAUUUGCAUCUACAGUCCUUGCAUUUUGUGUGCGCUGUUGAAGACUCACUAGCUCACUGGGGUGCAUCUGCAGACACGCAGGUACAACAUUUGCAUAGAGAUUGGGCCUGAAGCUGCAUGUGUGUGUUUACCACGUGGUCCUGGACUUCAGCCUUUUGUAAAAACUGGAACCAGCAAGGAUUUUUCUCCUCUUUGUUAGAUGCAUUGGAAGCUUUCGCCCAGCUCUCUCUCAUCCUCGGUGCUGUGGUGAUUUAGCCAUUUCUACUUAAAAGCAACCUUCAACUGUUGUUUUUGAGGCUAGUAAUUUAUUUUACUUGCCUGAAUUGAUAUGGAUAAAUCACGUCUUUCACCUUCCUUUUCCCUGGCAGAAACAAUAAAGCAGCAACAAGUAUAAACUUUCUAUACAGCCCAGAAUGGACAAUUCAAAAUCUAUUUGCAGUGCCUGCUUGCACUUCAACAUCAGUCAUCUAAGACUGGAGACUCAACGUCUUGAACCCUGAUCUUGCAGUCAAGUCUAUGCAGGCAGAGCCCUGCAGCCACAAGGUACCCCUUCUUGCUAGCCCAGGUAUCCCUACUUGUACGGAUCUGUUUGCAGGAUCAGGGCCCUGGGCAUCAAUACUGUUAUGCAGCUUCAUAUGUUGUUUCCCCAUCAGCUGCCUCUCUGUAGCAUCUAUCCACAUUGCUGAAUAGACGCACAUAUCACAUCAGUGUAGCUGCACAAUGGCCAGUAUUGCAUCCUGAACUAGUGCACUGCCAAAGACGGAGCCUCAUGCAUGGAUCCACUGGUCUUAAUCCCUGUAUUUCCUCCUCUUUGGUGACUGCUUGCUCACAAGCACAGUUAGAAAGCAAAAGGCAGUUUUAAGAUGCUGAUCUGCAUUUUGGGGAGCUUUUGAGGGAGGGUUUCUUGUGGUUUGGGAGAUUUUGUAUUCAUUUUGUUUGGCAACAAGACAUUUGGAUGCUUAUCUUGCUGGGCUCCUAUGACCCCAGCUGACUUCCUGCCCCUGGGGCAGGGGGCUGGACUCGACGAUCUUCUGAGGUCCCUUCCAGCCCUAAUGUCUAUGAAAUCUAUGAAAAAGCGCCAGUCUUGCUGGCACUUGGAAAGCCAGGUCUCCAGCGACGGAAACGGAUACUUGUCUCCUAGAGACAAAGGUGGCCUGGGGCCUCAAAGUUCAUAGUCUAAUCUCCUGAGAGGCUGGGGUUGCUUGCAUCGUGGAGUUUGUUUGGGGCCCAUCUGCAAAGGCAAGAUGAUCAGAUGGUCAUUUACAAAUAUUUACAUACUGAUAAUUGAGAUCCAGUGACCUGUCCCCUCCCUCAGCCACCAAGGGGUCUCCUACUGCCUGCUCCUCUCCCCUUCUCCUUAGCUUCCACCUAUCUUCCUACCUGCCCAUUUUGGGUGGCUUCUGGCACAACUGGUCUGAGGCUUGUGCAAAACGUAGGUGUGAAAGAGCCCAAGAAGGACGUGCUGGCAACCUCACCUCGGACUGCGACUCCUUUUUCCGUUCAGGACACCUUCACUGGCUUGAACAGGACACCGUCAACUUGACAUUCACCUCUCUCUGAGACCGUUGUUCCAGAUAACGGCCACGGUCACCAGCACUGAAAAGAGUUAGCGAUAGCUGGGGAAAAAGAGAACUGACUUCUGAUUUUCUUCUGUUUUGUUUGACAGCACUUUGUAUAAUUUUAUUUUGUUCAUUCCCUCGGGCACUUUCUUAAGCAGUCAGCUUCUUUCUUGUUCUUACAAAAACCUCUGCAAAGACUUA